rnacentral:rRNA from 1 species
UACGUAGGGUGCAAGCGUUGUCCGGAAUUAUUGGGCGUAAAGAGCUCGUAGGCGGUUUGUCGCGUCUGCUGUGAAAACUCGGGGCUUAACUCCGGGCCUGCAGUGGGUACGGGCAGACUAGAGUGUGGUAGGGGAGACUGGAAUUCCUGGUGUAGCGGUGAAAUGCGCAGAUAUCAGGAAGAACACCCGUGGCGAAGGCGGCUCUCUGGGACGGUACUGACGCUGAGGCGCGAAAGCGUGGGGAGCAAACAGG